rnacentral:lncRNA from 1 species
GUCCGCCACCAGGACUGGGGCGACCACCUCCUCCGCCGCCGCCAGGUGGGGCACCUGGGUAAGGUGGGUAUGGAGAGUAAGGAGGAUAUACAACAGGAGGUGAUAUAACCGGUGGUGGAUUAAUAAUAAUAGGUGGCAUGAUUAUUGGUGGCCCUUUCCCGUGGCCUCCAUGGUGCGGUGGUUUCGUGUGUGGGGGUUUGGGAUGAGGAACUUUCGGGUGGGUAGGGCGGUGAUACGGUGGAUAUGG